rnacentral:sRNA from 1 species
CAUGCCCCUUAUACGCUGGGCUACACACGUGCUACAAUGGGUAGUACAGAGAGUCGCAAAGCCGCGAGGUGGAGCUAAUCUCAGAAAACUAUUCUUAGUUCGGAUUGUACUCUGCAACUCGAGUACAUGAAGUUGGAAUCGCUAGUAAUCGCGAAUCAGCAAUGUCGCGGUGAAUACGUUCUCGGGUCUUGUACACACCGCCCGUCACACCACGAGAGUUGGUUGCACCUGAAGUAGCAGGCCUAACCGCAAGGAGGGAUGCUCCGAGGGUGUGAUUAGCGAUUGGGGUGAAGUCGUAACAAGGUAUCCGUACGGGAACGUGCGGAUGGAUCACCUCCUUUCUAAGGAGUAUAUGUCUUUCUCUAUUCUAUUGAUAAUGUUCUUAGUAAUUAAGGAGUCCAGGAUGCACGACUAUAAUUCCAAGAUCCAGCAUGGAGUGUUGCGGGACCAUUUAUCAAUUUUGACCAUUGGAAACUAUAUAGUAGACCAACCAAGAAACCAAAAAUUAACUCUACCAAUUUCUAAGAGUUAGCUGUCAAAAAAAUAGGUUAAAAUAAUUAAGGGCACACAAAGGAUGCCUAGGUAGUAAGAGCCGAUGAAGGCACGUGGUAAGCUGCGAUAAGCCUAG